rnacentral:rRNA from 1 species
AUUGAACGCUGGCGGCAUGCCUUACACAUGCAAGUCGAACGGCAGCACGGGUGCUUGCACCCGGUGGCGAGUGGCGAACGGGUGAGUAAUACAUCGGAACGUACCUUAUCGUGGGGGAUAACGCAGCGAAAGCUGUGCUAAUACCGCAUACGCCCUGAGGGGGAAAGCGGGGGAUCGCAAGACCUCGCGCGAUUAGAGCGGCCGAUGCCUGAUUAGCUUGUUGGUGGGGUAAAAGCCCACCAAGGCGACGAUCAGUAGCUGGUCUGAGAGGACGAUCAGCCACACUGGGACUGAGACACGGCCCAGACUCCUACGGGAGGCAGCAGUGGGGAAUUUUGGACAAUGGGGGCAACCCUGAUCCAGCAAUACCGCGUGAGUGAAGAAGGCCUUCGGGUUGUAAAGCUCUUUUGUCAGGGAAGAAACACCGGCUCUAACACAGUCCGGGAAUGACGGUACCUGAAGAAUAAGCACCGGCUAACUACGUGCCAGCCGCCGCGGUAA